ACGAACGCUGGCGGCGUGCCUAAUACAUGCAAGUUGAGCGAUGAAGAUUGGUGCUUGCACCCAUUUGAAGAGCAGCGAACGGGUGAGUAACGCGUGGGGAAUCUGCCUUUGAGCGGGGGACAACAUUUGGAAACGAAUGCUAAUACCGCAUAAUAACUUUAAACAUAAGUUUUAAGUUUGAAAGAUGCAAUUGCAUCACUCAAAGAUGAUCCCGCGUUGUAUUAGCUAGUUGGUGAGGUAAAGGCUCACCAAGGCGAUGAUACAUAGCCGACCUGAGAGGGUGAUCGGCCACAUUGGGACUGAGACACGGCCCAAACUCCUACGGGAGGCAGCAGUAGGGAAUCUUCGGCAAUGGACGAAAGUCUGACCGAGCAACGCCGCGUGAGUGAAGAAGGUUUUCGGAUCGUAAAACUCUGUUGGUAGAGAAGAACGUUGGUGAGAGUGGAAAGCUCAUCAAGUGACGGUAACUACCCAGAAAGGGACGGCUAACUACGUG
rnacentral:rRNA from 1 species